rnacentral:rRNA from 1 species
AAAUUGAAGAGUUUGAUCAUGGCUCAGAUUGAACGCUGGCGGCAGGCCUAACACAUGCAAGUCGAGCGGAAACGAGUUAUCAGAACCUUCGGGGGACGAUAGCGGCGUCGAGCGGCGGACGGGUGAGUAAUGCCUAGGAAAUUGCCCUGAUGUGGGGGAUAACCAUUGGAAACGAUGGCUAAUACCGCAUGAUGCCUACGGGCCAAAGAGGGGGACCUUCGGGCCUCUCGCGUCAGGAUAUGCCUAGGUGGGAUUAGCUAGUUGGUGAGGUAA